UACGUAGGGGGCAAGCGUUGUCCGGAAUCAUUGGGCGUAAAGAGCGCGUAGGCGGUCCGGUAAGUCGGUUGUGAAAACUGGGGCUCAACCCUCAGAGGCCGACCGAUACUGUCGGGCUAGAGUCCGGAAGAGGCGAGUGGAAUUCCUGGUGUAGCGGUGAAAUGCAUUGAGAUCGGAAAGAACACCAACGGCGAAAGCACUCUGCUGGGCCGACACUGACACUGAGAGACGAAAGCUAGGGGAGCAAAUGGG
rnacentral:rRNA from 1 species